CCUGACUGUUUCUGUAGUUUGGUCCUCCAGCUCUGCCUCACUUUCUUCUGGCUGAAUAAACGGAAACCGCCUCCGGAUCCAGACUUGCUUCUUGACAACACAGCACAUAACGCGGAAGUCCACUGCUGACACAAGCGGUAUGCACAACGCAAAGCGGACUAAAGGCUUCGAGACCAACAAAUGUAGGACACCUAGUGAACACCACGGAGGAGCUUCACGGCCUGAAAUCCAUACAAUCCAUGUUUCAACGGUUUUGUAAAGGACAUAGGUACACUCCGUGUGAAUAACAAGGUUCCGGUGGCUGGCAGAAUUGGAGACACCAGAAGACCCAUUUGGUUUUAACCCCAAACAGACAGGCCAGUGAAUUUCUACAGAGCCUCACCUCGCAGAAACACAGAACCUCCUAAAACCUUAAAAACAUUCCUGAUGCAUGUGGAGAAGAGCUCAGCGUGAAGUGCAACAAAACCAGAGACGUGGUUGGCGAGUUAUGAAGAAGUCCUUCAAAUCAAAGCAGGUGUGAAACAUCCAACUGAUGCAUGAUCAGGAUGAAACUUACAGCUGCUCCAUGAAAGGUCAAAGGGCCAGAAUGGCAGCUAAUGAAUGUUUGCGUGAUAUCUAUUUCAAUUUAAAUCAACACAAUGCUGAGUAUUGCUUCUUUUUCCUUGUUUGGAAAAUCAGCUGGUUUAUAGGAUCUAUUUUAGCCAGACUAGUCGACUGUAGAGAGGACAGCACCACCGAAUUUUGUGCUAAUGUUCAUUAUUUCCUGCUUGGCUGCUAAAUACCAGGCAAGGGAGAAACCAGGAGCGGCUCUGACCGGCUUACAGGUCAAGUUUCCUCAUGUUUUACCUCUGAACACGUUUCAAUAACCAUCUCUGGAAACCAAAGCCUGAAGCUCUUUGGGAGUCGUAACAUAAAGAGCUCACAGGAAAAGACUUUUCUGUUCGCAACGACAACAAAUUAGGACCACUACGUAGAAAAAAAAAGUAAAUUUCUGACAAAAAACUCUGACGUUUUGAGAUCACAGAGAUUUUCUAGAGAAAACUGGAGAUUUGUGAGCUUGAAAAGUCAAACAAUUUGCUAGAAAAACAAUCUGAAUUUUUUUAGAUUAACCUAAAAUUUUCUAGACCAAAUAUUCAGAGCUUGAAAAGUAAAAAAAAAAAAAA